GACGAACGCUGGCGGCGUGCUUAACACAUGCAAGUCGAACGGAAAGGCCUCUUUCGGGGGGUACUCGAGUGGCGAACGGGUGAGUAACACGUGAGUAACCUGCCCUUGACUUUGGGAUAACUUCAGGAAACUGGGGCUAAUACCGGAUAGGAGCUCCUGCUGCAUGGUGGGGGUUGGAAAGUUUCGGCGGUUGGGGAUGGACUCGCGGCUUAUCAGCUUGUUGGUGGGGUAGUGGCUUACCAAGGCUUUGACGGGUAGCCGGCCUGAGAGGGUGACCGGCCACAUUGGGACUGAGAUACGGCCCAGACGCCUACGGGAGGCAGCAGUGGGGAAUAUUGCACAAUGGGUGGAAGCCUGAUGCAGCAACGCCGGGUGCGGGAUGACGGCCUUCGGGUUGUAAACCGCUUUCGCUCAUGACGAAGCUUUGUGUGACGGUAGUGGGUAAAGAAGCACCGGCUAACUACGUG
rnacentral:rRNA from 1 species